UAUGUGAUCGUCUCUCGCAUAUCAAUAAGCGGAGGAAAAGAAACUAACAAGGAUUCCCCUAGUAACGGCGAGUGAAGCGGGAAGAGCUCAAAUUUGAAAUCUUAAAGGGUUUCCCUUUACGAAUUGUAGUUUAAAGAAGUGUUUUCUGUUGAGGUUUUGGUAAAAGUUCUUUGGAAUAGGACAUCAUAGAGGGUGAGAAUCCCGUAUUUGACCUUUACUUUCAACUUUGUGAUACACUUUCAAAGAGUCGGAUUGUUUGGGAAUGCAGUCCAAAAUGGGUGGUAAAUUUCAUCUAAAGCUAAAUAUUGGCGAGAGACCGAUAGCGAACAAGUACUGUGAGGAAAGAUGAAAAGGAACUUUGAAAAGAGAGUUAAACAGUACGUGAAAUUGUCAAAAGGGAAGCGUUUGACACCAGUGUUGUUUUUCUGAAAAUCAAUGAAAGAACUGUUUAUGCUAAGCUGUUUAGACUUUAUCAGCUAUACUGUUUAGUUUUGAGCUUUUCUUUAAUGCACUUUUCAGUUAACAAGUCAACAUCAAUUUCUUUUGCUGUAAAAAAGCUUGAGGAAGGUGGCUUGAGAUUCGUCUUAAGUGUUUAUAGCCUCUUGCCUAUGCAGUCGGAGAGAUUGAGGUCUGCAGCGUAGAUCCUUCGGGGCUAAAUGCAUUUGUGCUAAGUUAUAGCAUUUUAUAGACAACUUGUUGACUAUGAUUUGUCUUGUAGCUUACUCGCUUAUGUUAUUUUACCUACGCUUAGGAUGUUGAUCUCUCACAGUCGAGC
rnacentral:rRNA from 1 species